rnacentral:lncRNA from 1 species
UGAGGAAAACAUAAUUCACAAACGAAUAAUGAAAUAUAUGAUUACUGGGCUGAAUUCACGAAUCACAUAGGAUGAUGAUGUUCAAAAACAAGCAUCCAAGAGACAACAACAACACAAGGCAGCACAACAUCCCUUCCAGAAGCCAUCACCUUUGGACUUGGUUUCUGCAGGUCCAUGAUGAGCAGAAGCAGGAUUUGGAGCAUCUCUUGUGGGAUAACCAGCAGGUGGCGGAGCCUGCACGUAAUAAGAUCCGGGCGCCAUCGAGUAAGGUUGGGGAUGAGGAGGGUAUGCUGCUGCGGAAUUAGUCGACGAACUCAUCUUAGUUGAAAAAUAAUAAGCUGAUUAUUUCUAGUUUGGGUUUGGUUUUUUGGAUGGUUUGAUUUGAUGAAUGAAGCCCCAUUUUAUAUGUAUAUACAUGAAGAAAACCAGAUGGGAAUUGGAGUGAUUGUUCAUUUCCUAGAAGGUCAAUAAUUAGUGUCUUAACGCGGGUGGCAACACUACACCGCGUGCAAAUCCAAAAUGUAUGUGGAGAAGAAAAAUACAAAAUGUUAUUGUUCUUAUUACUUUUGGACUAGCCAGCGGAAGGUACGUAGGAAAGAGCAAAUCAUAUUAUAUCCAACUCGUGAGAGGAUAUCCAACAUACUUGGCUUGGAAAAAAGCUUUGGCUCCUUCUCAAAAUAAAUGGGUUUUUCACACUUGUCAUUUUUAUUUCAGUUUUCUUUUUUGGCAAGUUGUUCUAACACUUAACAGAGUCUAUGUCAAGUUGCCGGAAAAAUACUCAAGUCACCCAUUCCUCUCUUUCCCUCAUGCUCAACCAAACCUCUCUGCAAAAUCCUUUCUCUCAUACAUUAAUACCCCAUCUUUCCCCUAGGAAUACUUAAUUUUCUCUUCAAUGCUAAACUCAUGACAACUUUGCUCCUAUGCCACAAGCCUCUCAUGUCAAGCUAAAAUUCUACAUGUGAGCACUAAGAAUUCAUCUGUAAGCAACCAUUAUGUUCGUUGAUGAAGGUAACCAGGGUGUUUCCUAAGGCUUUACUAUCCUUUCGAAAUAUUUUGGGGUCUGAUCUUUGAACUCAAACACAAGGGGGAAAUUUCAGCCAUUUUGCUCCUUACGGCAGCACAACCCAUUUGUAGCUGCCGGAAGAAAAAAGCCCCCACAGAAUUCAUCCGACAUAUUAAGGAAAUGAAACAUCAGUCAUUGUUUUUUGUUUCGUAUUAUACUAGUUAAGAUUGUUGGGUUAAGCGACAUGUCCCACAUUGGGGAUGUAAGCCUCUAUACAAUAACUUUUAUAUCAUGACUGAUGGGGAUCGGGAUUCGGACAUAGGUCACCAACCACAUACACGAAUACUGAAAUCUAGGGCUAGUGCAAACUCACAUAUAUCGUAGGCUUGAAUCAAAGGGCUACCUCCCUCAUACUCUCUGUCGAGACUCCCACAGCUUAGAGUGUCGACACGAGCUACUUGAUUCAGAUAAGGGUUCACGAAUCUCUACCCGUCAGAACUCUUACCUAUCUGGAUUCAAGCUUUGAUGCGAGCGAUACGUUCCGUAAGUUGCCAUAACAUCCUCCUAAUUUCCUUCAUGUCGUUGUAGUUGUCAACACGACCUUCCAUCCAAAAACCUCCCUGAUAAAGCAAAUCUUAAGUCAUAGCUCUGAUACCAAUUGAUGGGGAUCGAGAUCCGAACAUAGGUCACCAACCACAUACACAAGUACCGAAAUUUAGGGCUAGUGCAAACUCACAUAGAUCGUAGCAAAUCCAUGCCACAAAUAAACUAUUUCAUUAAUCAUCAACAUCAUAGUUGGCGGCACAUGGACAUGAAAAUUUACUUGGUCCAAAAGUAAACUAAUUAAUUUAUAAAAUCACACAUAAAUAAUAAAAGAUAUCCUAAAACUACCUAAAUAAGAAAAUAACAAUAUAUCAUGAAAUAACUAAUUAAAUGCUAAAUAUCUAUCUUAAUCCACCCCUAUGUUCCUGUAUCAAUGACCAAUGUUCCAGUUGGUUCUAUACAUGUGACCCGCUACCAAGGAAAAAGAAUUGCAAUAGCUAAAUGAUGGUGUGAGUCAGCCAUGACCUCCAAUUACUAGAUCUAAUCCUCUACAAAAAGUAAAAAAAUUCCACAUAUAUUUUGACCACUUCAAGGUGAAAAUAAAGUUGCUCCCUCGGUAGAACUAAGAUAAAGUUGAGCCAAAAGAUCCCGAUUCAAGAUAAAUUCAUGGAAGAUUUCCUUAUAUUAGCUGCAAAUGAAGAAAUUUUAUUAUAAGAAUCAUUAUACAAUAAAAAGAAUUGGACAAUCGGUGCGUAGGAUCACUAAAUGGGAAAUUGACAUGGUCCUUUCCUCAUAGAAGUAUAACAACGGAAAAACUGAAAUAAAUGUGUUAAAAUAAAAUUCACAAAUGAAAGAUAUAUGUGGAUUAUUGGGCUCUCAAUUCAAGAAUCUCCUGGAUGAUGUUCAAAAACAUGCAUCCAAAACGCAACAGCAGCACAAGGCAGCACAGCAUCCCUUCCAGAAGCCAUCACCUUUUGACUUUGUUUCUACAGCUCCAUGUCCAUGGGGAUUUGGGGCAUCUCUUGUUGGAUAACCAGCAGGUGGUGGAGCCUGACUCGGCGCUGUAGAACAAGGUGGGGGAGGGUAUGCUGCUCCAGAGUUAGUUGAUGAACUCAUCUUUGAAUAAUAUUUCUAAGGGCCUUCAAAGUAUUCUAUGGAGGUAGAAGAAGAAAAUAAAAGAGAGAUGCUAGAAACAGAAGGGAAUGAAAACAAAGUGAAACACUUAGCUGGGUUUGGUUUGUUGGGUAGAUGAUAGAUGAGGCGCAAUUUAUAGAUCAAGAAAAGCAAGUGACAAUUAUUGGAGUGGUUGUUUCUGGGAAGAUGCGUAUUUGAUAUCUUACUAGUGGCUCUUACGCGGGCGGCUACAGUGUACACCGUGUACCUAUGUGGGGCAGUUCAGACCCCAAAAAGAAGAAGUAAGAAAGAAAGAAAGAAAACAAGACUACUAAGCAAAACGCAAUGGGCCCUGUUCUGUUCUCAUAAUUAGUUUUGGAGUGGACGACCUACGUAGGAAAGAGCAAUUAUAUUAUGGAAAAUACUUCCCUCCAUUCCCCGUUAGUAAAGGAAGAAGUUUCGACAUUUAUAUCAAUGGCAGUUUGAUAUAUGUGUAGAAGUUUUUCUUUUUGUGUUUUUUAUAAAUUAUUUUUGCACAUGUGUCAAAUUAUAAUUUACAAAAGGCUUUUUAUCACAAAACAUCCCUGACGUUAGCGAAACUAUCAAAUUACAUCCUUAAAGUUUUUUUUGUAUCACCUAUGGUCAGGGCGGAGGUGUGCUUAGGCCGGCAAGGGCCUUGGCCCUCCCAAAAUUCUGAAAUAGUAUAUAUAUUGCCUUUGCAUUGUACAACUUAGGACAAUAUAUAUAUAUAUAUAUAUAUAUAUUAAAUUAAUGCUUGUGGUCCCCCACAAUAAAGAGAAAGAGGGAUUUACAUUUUCCCCUCCAACUAAAAGACUCUUUCCUUAGCAAUAUGGCAAAGUUACUCCUAGAUUCUACCAACAUAAUUAAUAAAAAUUAAAAGAAACAGCCAAUCAAAUCUUUCUUUCACAAGUAUAUUUAAGAAAAUAGAGAAUUAAAGAUAAUCGGUUAUUUAUUUAUUUACAAGCUUAACACUGGGAAAGAAAUCAACAUUAAACCCUAAUAUAUUGGCCCCUUCACACAUAAAAUCCUAGCUCCGCCACUGCCCAUGGUCCUUAACGUUAAUAUGGGUGCUCUUAAAUAGUCCAUUCGUCAAAAAAAUCGUUAAAUCCCUAUUUUAUAAGAGAUAUAAUCAUCAAAUCAAUUCCUUUUGAACUCUUCAAUGCCUCGGACCCAUUUGCCACCAAUUUGGAACCAUUUCCCUCCAUUUCUCGUUGUUUUUUUUUUUUUUGCUAAUCAACAAAUAUCUAUUUUAAUUUUUUUUCUACAACUUCACCUUUUAUGCUUCCUGGGUGCUUGGAUAGCACCUUAGUAAAGUCGUUCGUCAAAGAGAUUGCUGUUUCUAUAAAGUCGUUCGUCAAAGAGAUUGCUGACUCUAAGUAAUCAAAUUUGAGAAGGAAAGUUAGCACAAACAAUGUAAUGGACCAAUCACAUAAGAAGGUUGUUAUUAAUCAGCAAUAAAAAACGAAGAACACUGAAAAGUACAGGCAUUCAAGCGUAAAUCAUAAAGAUCGCAUCACACAUCAAUCAUCAAUAUGUCAAAACAAGAGCAAAAAGAAUAGAGGGGGCGGGGGUGGUCGUGGGUCUUGAGAGGAGACAUUUACAGGGAAUUCUCACAAGCUCCCAUCCUAUAAAAAUAGAUGGAGCUAAGUCCCUUGCCUCAAGUAUUUAAUAAACAAUUUUAGAGCAACAAUUCAUCACAGGAAAGAUUUCGAACUAAAUAAAAAACAACACAAAAUAUAACAGUCCAAGAAUAUGGUGAAUAGGAGAAUUGAGAUUGUGAUACAAAUAAGUUCCUAAACAAGGCAUAUCAUUCACAGCACAAGAAGUUCAAAGAUUGUGAUACAAAUAGUUUGACUUUUUGACUUUAUUGUAUGGUCGAUCAAUAUGCCGCAUGGAUGGUUGGGAUUUUAUCUAUCCUUUGUAUGAGCCUUAGGCUUUUGUCUUAAGCAAAGAAUCUGAGAAAUACCCAAAACUGUCUAAGAAUUGCACCACAGAAGUUUUACCCAAACAACUACUCCAUCUUCCUCUGUUUUUCAUUCUGAAACUCUUCCUCAAAUCUUCUAUUGUUUAUCUAUUAUGGUGGCAGUAUCGAAUCGAAUGACAUAAGGGUUCUAUUAGAUUGAACAGCCAAUAUACAUUUUCCACAUGUUUGGUCACACGUUGUCCCACAUCAUCAACUGAUGACAUUGCAUACCCCACCCAGCCUAAAAUACAGUUAAUAACUUCAGAAUCCGAGUUCAUGUUUUCUUUCUUGUUUUCUUUUCAUUUUUUUCAAGCAAAUUCGUGAAUGUACGGUGUUAAUAUCAUAACGUGAAACCAUUUAAUACUCACAAAAACUUGUCUCUUUUAUUUGAACAAAUUAAAGAAUUUUACUAUACGAAUAAUGCAACAACAAGAAUUACAUAAUCGAAUAAUAACGCAAAAGUUACAAAAAGUGAGGAAAACAUAAUUCACAAACGAAUAAAGAAAUAUAUGAUUAGUAACUGGGCUGAAUUCAAGAAUCACAUGGGAUGAUGAUGUUCAAAAACAAGCAUCCAAGAGACAACAACAACACAAGGCAGCACAACAUCCCUUCCAGAAGCCAUCACCCUUGGACUUGGUUUCUACAGGCCCAUGAUGAGCGGAAGCAGGAUUUGGAGCAUCUCUUGUGGGAUAACCAGCAGGUGGCGGAGCCUGCACGUAAUAGGAUCCGGGCGCCAUCGAGUAAGGUUGGGGAUGAGGAGGGUAUGCUGCUGCGGAAUUAGUCGACGAACUCAUCUUAGUUGAAAAAUAAUAAGCUGAUUAUUUCUAGUUUGGGUUUGGUUUGUAUUGGAUGGUUUGAUUUGAUGAAUGAAGCCCCAUUUUAUAUGUAUAUACAUGAAGAAAAC